AAAAAGGCAAACACUGGGUUUCCGUGUCCAACUUUGACUGUCCGUCUUAUAUGAAAUUUUUUUAUAAUUCGUAUUUUUAUUAUUGUUAGAUGAUAAAACAUGAUUAAUAUUUUAUACGUGACUUGUCUUUUUAAUUUUUUUUAGACCUGACAGUCUGCAUUGUCGCUGGCAGUUUUGGAUGGGACACGAGAAAAAGAGGGCAAACUGAGC
rnacentral:pre_miRNA from 1 species